AUGGUGCAUGAAAUAUGUUCUGAAAUAUCACACUCAAUGGGCAAGCUUGUACAGGGAAUUGGGAAACUUGACGACAAUGGCGGCACAACUAGUGCGCCAGCAGCUGACAAUGUUGCUCGUCCAAGUAGUUCACGUUCAAGGGAAAGGCGUGACGCCGGUGGAAAUGACCCCCACACACUUCCCAGUGAUGAAGAAUCUUACCAGUCAGGGAGUGACACAGACGAUGGCCAAGAAGACGAGAGUGAAGAAUUAGACGGUGCUGAAGGUGACUCCGACAGCAAUGAUGAUGAUGGUGAUGGGAACAUGCAUGGAGAGACCAACAGUGGCGGCGACAAUGCCCAGGACCAGGAGGAUGAGGAAGAAGAAACACGACGGGAGGAAGUAGAGGUAGAUGUUGGAGACAUUGAGACGGAAGAUGAGAAGGAGGAUGAAGAUGGGGAAGAAGAAGAAGAUGAGGAGGAUGACGUGAACAAACAUGAGGAGGACAAGGAGGGCGACGAUGGCAGCGAUGGUGGUGGCGGAAAUGGGGGGUCUGGUGACCAGACUACUGGCAGAGGUCAUAGUGGUGGCACUAAUGAAGAUCGGGCCAAGGAUGGGAGUCAUGAGCCAGCUGAAAACGACUCCGAAAGCAAAGAGGGUGCAUCUAUGCAGUAUUGGAUUAAGAGGAAACAAAACAGUCAAGAGAUUGAAAGCCCAGAACAAUUUUCGUUGUUGGAUCUUGUGAAGCUAGAUGUCAGAAAGGAGGGCACCCCUCCCGACUUCCCGAUGCUGGAAGUCGCCUAUGUGUCAGAUGGUUUAUCUGUUCGUUGGGAAAUGAAACGGAUUUUUAAAGAGCUGAUUGACAGUCUGGAAUUUAAGAAAACAUUUGAAUUCAGACUGGAAGAUAUCUGCCCCCGGAAGACACGAAUCGAACUGAUGCAACAAGUUUGUGAUUUAAGUCACAUGGCCACAGCAGCCGGACCUAUGCAUCAAGUCGCCGUAGCAGCAGCAAAAGGCCGUCCACCAAAGCCACCGAAGAAACAAAGGAAGGUGACCUUCAUAGAUCAACCAACCGUUGUAACAUGUGAUGUUUUGGAUCAGCUGGGAGCUGAGUACAUGAGCAGGAAUGAAGCAAGAGGUCAAAGCAUCCAAAUGCCAGGAACCAGGCAGGUGGGUAUAACUCAGAAGGCAACUACAGUAGAGAAUCAGGCACCCACCUUUGAAAUACAAGCAACCAUGACCAACAGCAAGACAACCCCUGGGUUUGAUCAUUCAAGCAAACCAAGCAUGCCAAGGGAGGACCCAGUUGCCCAUUCAAGAAACUCAGCACCAGAUGCAAGGAAAUUGUCCGUUGAUGCAAAGGAAUCAUAUGUAAAGCAGUUGUAG
rnacentral:rRNA from 1 species